ACUUAAGCAAUACAAGAUUAUUUGUGUUUGCUUAGGGAGAACUAAAAUUAAUAUGAUAAUAGAGGAAUUCUUUUAGUCUUGAGAUUCUUUUACUCCAUUUUGGUCAUUGAGGGGGUCCGGGGUAAGGGAAUCAGUAGUAUUCUACUGAAAAGGUACUAUACUACAAUGAAAGUUUUUUUCACGCCACACUUUUAUAAGGAGGAGAAAAGGAGAUCUAAAGCUGAAAGUGGUAGCAUUAAUAAAUUGAUUCGAACAUUAUAUUAUCUUCUUUUAUAGAUGAAUUAGUUGGUUGAGAUGUGUGCAAGCGUAUGUUUCUCCGGGGUUAAUAUAAUAUUUCCUGACUGAACCUUUUUCUCUAAAUUAAUAGGUUUACAACAACCUCUUCCCCAUCUCUCUAUCGUCCACAGAUCUUUUGGAUGUUCAUGUUAUGUUUUAUUGUUUUAUAUAAUGUGUAUGUUAUUGUUUGUGUAUUUGUAAGAUUUGAUUCUCCUUAUGAGUUAAUAGCUGAUGUAGAUCUUGCUACCAUUAAGGACCGUAUGGCUAUUAAAAAGGUUGUACAGUCUAGUAAUGUGGAGGAGGCAAUUAAGAAGGUUGAUUUGAAUCCCGAGUUAAAACCUAAAGAAUAUAAACAACACAGAGUGGACCACAUCUGAAGCAGAGUAAGCUGGUUGAUAGGGACCUCAAAUUCGAAUAGGAUACCGGGCUGAAAUAAUAUCUAAACAAGUGUAGUUACUGAGCCUUGCUUUCACUCAAUUGUAGCAUACCUCAUGCAUAAGUUGUUGGACUACAUAUAUCAUAUUAGAAGCUAAGAUGCUAGAGAACCAACAAGGAUGGAAGCAAAAGAGUUGAAAUCUGAAGCGAAAAGAAGAGAAGUGUGGCUGACGAUAUUCCUGAUAAGUCGUCAUCCCUGUGAUAUGUUAUCAGCUUCAUCUUCAGCCUUAGACAGAGAAUGGACCUGAGUUGAGAGUUGUGACGAUAUUUUGUGAUAAGCCGUCAAGGAGCUGAUAGGUCGUCAAAAUUGGUGUCAGCCUAAGGCAGAACAUGGGAGCUGAGGUAGAGACGUGACGACAUUCGUGAUAAGUCGUCAAGGAGAUGAUAGGUCGUCAAAACCAUGUCAUCCUAAGGCAGCGAAUACUAAAAGCAAAGAGGAGAUGAUGACAUUUGUAAUAAGUCAUCAGCCUCCUGAUAGGGUGUCACGGAUGGCAUCACCUAUUCGAGAAAUUUCUGAACGUUAUUAUUUUAUUUCCAUAAUUGAGGUGAACUAUUUAAAGCAUUGUUUAGGGUUUUCUUAAGGGUUCUGAACCUGAGUUUUGAGACACAUAUUUUUGUUAUUUUCUCUCUCUAGUUUCUUGGCUUGAAAAAGCAAUUACUUUGAAGAGAUUUUAAUCAUUACUUUGGGAUUCCUAUUGUGAUCUAAUAUGAGAAUCACUAGUUAUUAUUCAU